rnacentral:rRNA from 1 species
AGUGAACGCUGGCGGUAGGCCUAACACAUGCAAGUCGAACGGCAGCACAGUAAGAGCUUGCUCUUACGGGUGGCGAGUGGCGGACGGGUGAGGAAUACAUCGGAAUCUACUUUUUCGUGGGGGAUAACGUAGGGAAACUUACGCUAAUACCGCAUACGACCUACGGGUGAAAGCAGGGGAUCUUCGGACCUUGCGCGAUUGAAUGAGCCGAUGUCGGAUUAGCUAGUUGGCGGGGUAAAGGCCCACCAAGGCGACGAUCCGUAGCUGGUCUGAGAGGAUGAUCAGCCACACUGGAACUGAGACACGGUCCAGACUCCUACGGGAGGCAGCAGUGGGGAAUAUUGGACAAUGGGCGCAAGCCUGAUCCAGCCAUACCGCGUGGGUGAAGAAGGCCUUCGGGUUGUAAAGCCCUUUUGUUGGGAAAGAAAAGCAGCAGGUUAAUACCCCGCUGUUCUGACGGUACCCAAAGAAUAAGCACCGUCUAACUUCGU